UACGAACGCUGGCGGCGUGCUUAACACAUGCAAGUCGAGCGGGGAACUUCGGUUCCCAGCGGCGGACGGGUGAGUAACACGUGGGUAACCUGCCUUACAGUGGGGAAUAGCCUUCCGAAAGGAAGAUUAAUACCGCAUAAUACUCAGAGAUCACAUGAUCUUUGAGCCAAAGGAUUUAUUCGCUGUAAGAUGGACCCGCGGCGCAUUAGCUUGUUGGUGAGGUAACGGCUCACCAAGGCUUCGAUGCGUAGCCGACCUGAGAGGGUGAUCGGCCACAUUGGAACUGAGAUACGGUCCAGACUCCUACGGGAGGCAGCAGUGGGGAAUAUUGCACAAUGGAGGAAACUCUGAUGCAGCAACGCCGCGUGAGUGAUGAAGGUCUUCGGAUCGUAAAACUCUGUCUUAUGGGACGAUAAUGACGGUACCAUAGGAGGAAGCCACGGCUAACUACGUGCCAGCCGCCGCAGUAA
rnacentral:rRNA from 1 species